GCCCAGAUUUGGCGCAGUGGUUAGCACUGCUACCUCACGACAAGAAGGGCGAGGGUUCAAAUCCGGCGUUGGGCC